GCCUACGGGUGGCUGCAGUGGGGAAUAUUGCACAAUGGGGGAAACCCUGAUGCAGCAACGCCGCGUGAGUGAUGACGGCCUUCGGGUUGUAAAGCUCUGUCUUCAGGGACGAUAAUGACGGUACCUGAGGAGGAAGCCACGGCUAACUACGUGCCAGCAGCCGCGGUAAUACGUAGGUGGCGAGCGUUGUCCGGAGUUACUGGGCGUAAAGGGAGCGUAGGCGGAUUUUUAAGUGAGAUGUGAAAUACUCGGGCUUAACCUGAGUGCUGCAUUUCAAACUGGAAGUCUAGAGUGCAGGAGAGGAGAAGGGAAUUCCUAGUGUAGCGGUGAAAUGCGUAGAGAUUAGGAAGAACACCAGUGGCGAAGGCGCUUCUCUGGACUGUAACUGACGCUGAGGCUCGAAAGCAUGGGGAGCAAACAGGAUUAGAUACCCCUGUAGUCCAA
rnacentral:rRNA from 1 species